rnacentral:rRNA from 1 species
UACGUAGGGUCCGAGCGUUGUCCGGAGUUACUGGGCGUAAAGCGCGCGCAGGCGGCGGUGCUGGCCCGGCGUGAAAGCCCCCGGCUCAACCGGGGAGAGUCGUCGGGGACCGCACCGCUUGAGGGCGGUAGGGGCUGGUGGAAUGCCUGGUGUAGUGGUGAAAUGCGUAGAGAUCAGGCAGAACACCUGGGGCGAAGGCGGCCAGCUGGGCCGUCCCUGACGCUGAGGCGCGAAGACGUGGGGAGCGAACGGG